UUUAUGCGAUAAAUGGGUGUGAAUGGCAGAAUCCCGUGACCCAUCGAGUCUUUGACGCAGUUGCGCCCGAAGCCAUUAGGCUGAGGGCACGUCUGCCUGGGUGUCA
rnacentral:rRNA from 1 species